AAGUAUCUUCGGGGCAGGGUGAAAUUCCCUACCGGCGGUGAUAGCCCGCGAGCUGCUUUUGGCGGCAGGAUUCGUUGAAAUUACGAAGCCGACAGUAUAGUCUGGAUGAGAGAAGAUAUGC
rfam:Firmicutes bacterium CAG:466 genomic scaffold, scf176